rnacentral:rRNA from 1 species
AACGGCGAGUGAAGCGGGAAGAGCUCAUGUUUGAAAUCCAGCUCUAAACGGUGCUGGAGUUGUAACCUAGAGGUGCGUGUUGCCUGCCGGGGGGGCCGCGGCUAAGUCCGAUUUGAAAAGGGCACCAAGGAGGGUGGCAGUCCCGUUCGUGCCGCAGUCCCACCGGCGUUGUGGCCCGCUUCCAACGAGUCGAGUUGCUUGGGAUUGCAGCUCAAAGUGGGUGGUAAACUCCAUCCAAAGCUAAACACGUGUGGGAGACCGAUAGCGAACAAGUACCGUGAGGGAAAGAUGCAAAGAACUUUGAAAAGAGAGUCAAAGAGUGCCUGAAAUUGCUGAGAGGGAAGCGAAGGAAAGUAGUGUCGGUCGUGGGGAUCUCGCACACGGGGAGCGGCCCGAUCUUCGGGUCGGGCCCUCUCCGUUAUCCCCCGCAAUGUCAGGGGCGGGUGCGCAGGAUUGGCCGAGGCGGCGGCCAGAGGUAAAGGUGUUCCGAGGUAACAGCCGGACGAAUGCGGUAAUCAGGAUCCGCGUCUCGGGCGCGGCCGUCCCUGACGAAAUGUUUUUCUUUACCCCGUCUUGA